CCUACGGGACGCAGCAGUGAGGAAUAUUGGUCAAUGGGAGCGAGACUGAACCAGCCAAGUAGCGUGAAGGAUGACUGCCCUACGGGUUGUAAACUUCUUUUAUAAAGGAAUAAAGUGAGGCACGUGUGCCUUUUUGUAUGUACUUUAUGCAUAAGGAUCGGCUAACUCCGUGCCAGCAGCCGCGGUAAUACGGAGGAUCCGAGCGUUAUCCGGAUGUAUUGGGUUUAAAGGGAGCGUAGAUGGGUUGUUAAGUCAGUUGUGAAAGUUUGCGGCUCAACCGUAAAAUUGCAAUUGAUACUGGCAGUCUUGAGUACAGUUGAGGUAGGCGGAAUUCGUGGUGUAGAGGUGAAAUGCUUAGAUAUCACGAAGAACUCCGAUUGCGAAGGCAGCUCACUGGACUGCAACUGACACUGAGGCUCGAAAGUGUGGGUAUCAAACAGGAUUAGAUACCCUUGUAGUC
rnacentral:rRNA from 1 species